GCUGGGAUGGCCGAGUCGUUAAGGCGAAUGAUUUGAAUGUAUCUCAUCAUUUGGGAUUUCCCGCACAGGUUCAAAUCCUGUUUCCAGCG